CCCUUAGAUGUUCUGGGCCGCACGCGCGCUACACUGAUGCAUUCAACGAGUCUAAAACCUGGUCUGAUAGGGCUGGGUAAUCUUUUGAAAGUGCAUCGUGAUUGGGAUAGAUGAUUGCAAUUCUUCAUCUUCAACGAGGAAUGCCUAGUAAACGCAAGUCAUCAGCUUGCAUUGAUUACGUCCCUGCCCUUUGUACACACCGCCCGUCGCUCCUACCGAUUGAAUGAUCCGAUGAAUACCAUGGAUUGAGAGUUCGAAUAGGUUCGCCUAUUUCAGCUUCUCGAGAAGUGGAGCAAAUCUUAUCAUUUAGAGGAAGGAGAAGUCGUAACA
rnacentral:rRNA from 1 species